rnacentral:lncRNA from 1 species
CCCAAUCACAUAUUCCUUGGACUUUAUCGUUUAAGCAUAUAACAUUUAUAUGAGACGGCUCAAACAAUAAUCUUUGCCCUUUAUAUUAAACUAGAUUAGUUUAACAUGUGAAAUGUCCGUAAAGUAUCAUCACAUGAUUGGUUUCAGGGCACAUUUCCAACAAUCUCCCACUUGCACUAGAGCCAAUCAACUUAGUCAUCAGUGAUGAUACCUCUUUUGUAGUCAUUUCAUAAAUGGCUGAAUAGUAGGCCUAGGCAAUGGAUAUCUAUAUGUUAUCCAUAGAAGCAACCUUGAGAAUAACGACGUCACCAUUAUACAUGAUUCUUAAUCAUGUGGUUCAGUCUCUCAUAUGAGUUCGGAUCUUGAUGAGACCUUGAUUCCCUGGCUUG